UACAGAGGAUGCAAGCGUUAUCCGGAAUGAUUGGGCGUAAAGCGUCUGUAGGUGGCUUUUUAAGUCCGCCGUCAAAUCCCAGGGCUCAACUCUGGACAGGCGGUGGAAACUACCAAGCUGGAGUACGGUAGGGGCAGAGGGAAUUUCCGGUGGAGCGGUGAAAUGCGUAGAGAUCGGAAGGAACACCUGUGGCGAAAGCGGCUCACUGGACCACAACUGACGCUGAGGCACGAAAGCUAGGGGAGCAAACAGG
rnacentral:rRNA from 1 species